rnacentral:sRNA from 1 species
AAAUAGUAGAAAAUAUUUAUUCAGAACUCAUCGUUACCAGAUCAUACUUAGCUUUUGGUAUCUCUCUUUAAAUAUAACUCGCAUUUGAAUUGCCCAUGAAACCUCCAUUUUUCAACUCUUUUUGAUCUUAUUAAGACAGCCCGAAACAAGUCUUUUCAAAUCUCCUGGAAGCCUUUCUUCUACCGAAAUCUUUUCAAGCCAAUUAGAGGUCAGAGGCUCGUUUUACGGCGUUUCGAAUCGGAAGUGAUACAAACACGAAUACAAAAUUCUUCAUGAUCAAAAUCAUCAUGCCCCGACAACCGAAAACCUUUGCGGCACAACUUUAAUCGCUUGCCGAGUCAUCAAACGAGGUGCAACGGAGAUGACACCUUGAAAAUGGAAUACAGAAAGAACCUGGAGCCGGGGAACCUCAUGCCACAAAGAAAGCGGUCAAUUUAACACAAUGAUAUAACGAGCUGAACUUGAAAUUGUUAAUGCUCUUAGCCCUGGUUGGGUAGACACUGCAGAGUUCACUUAUUAAGUCAUUACCUCAAUUAGAAGAGGAAACAAUGCACAUAUGGGUCCUUAACGAUAUGAUCAAAUACACAAAGCCAUCUCAUGUGGGUAUGGCUUACUAAUUUCCUUUUAAUUGCAACUUUCCAGCGACUUGUUUUGAGCUGUGCAACCAAAACGCAUCUGCAAUUACUCGUCCCCCGCGGCCGAACUGGCCCGGAGAUGUCUUUUCGGUGUCGACUUUGCCUUUAUAAAUAUGCAGAAAUUAGUGGCGAACAAAUCUUGUGCAAGUUUUGGCAUUAACACCUUUCAAUCUGAGCGAGUUGCAAACAACAUUGCGAAAAUGACAAAACGGAUUUGAGGGGAACAGUAGAUAGUGCUGGAAAUGGCUUUAUUUAAACUUUUCACCAUUUGGGCUUCAGUUCGUACCGUAUUUUGUCCAACCAUCACGCAGGAAAUGUCACGACACCCAGCAGUCUCUGUGAAGACUUCAGGUUUUUGCCCGCAAAUAUCUUGCAUUUGGUUUUCGCGAUGCAAUUUUGAAUAUGCAUAAAAAAUUGGUAUUAAAACGUCGCAUGUAAGACAUUAAUCAGCUGGCAAAGUGGCAGCCGCAGGAGCAGCAGACAGAAGCACCACUGGAGUGGAGCAGGGCUGGAGGGGUGCCACUCGGUGCGAUGGCUAGGUAAAGUCAGUGAGCAGCCAGUUGAGCGCUUGCAUCAUGCGCUUGAUUAAUCUGCAUUUUACUCCCCACAUGCCCCCUUCAUAAAAUAAAGAAAAAAAA